GGAAGCUGUGCCCCCUGGCUGAGGAGGGGAAAUGUGGGAGGCGCAGGUAGGGCGCGGAUCCCCAAGUGCCACCCAGGAGGGAACUCCAGAUGUGGAAAAUUUGGCCACUGGUGUUCUGCAACUCACUUAUUGCUGGGGACCAUAGCACACCAGUACUAUCCAUGGAGUUUUCUUGGCAAAGACACUAGUGGUUUUCCAUUUCCUUCUCCAGCUCAUUUCACAGCUUUUGGUCAAUUGUGUGGCUGUAAAGAUGUGGCCUGCUGGAGAAAAUCAUUUUGUGAAAGCCUGCUAAGAAGCAAAACCCUUCCUGUAUUUUCAUCAAGGACGCCCUCAAUAUGCAGACAUUGUGAUUCCAGGAGGUUGUGACUUGCAUAUGCAUAGUCAAAUAGCAGACCCAGGAAUUGAACCCUGAACCUUUGACUUCAAAUACAGCCUUCUUUCCACUGUGGCACCCUGCCUCCUCCCAAGCUGCUUUUCCUUCCUCAGUUUUUUCUAUGGCUUGUUGAUUUUCUUUCUAUCCUUACUAAGCCCUAUGCUUCUAAUUGUCAAGAGUUCAAUGCGGAUGAAGAAUAGUCAGCUCUCAGCUAUGUGGAAUUUCCACUUUGGGACUGUCAAAAAUAAUUCAUCAACUGAUUUCUUCCUGCUGUCCAGGACUCAUCACCAGCAAGUACACCCAAACUUAUUUUAAUACUUGUCCAAACUAAGUAGAAUUAAAAUAGCAUGGGCCUACAGUUAACAAAAAUUUAAAUUAAACUCAGUUAAACAAAUGCUAUGCAUUCCAAAGCCAAAGAAAGCAGAGGACGAAUGAAGAGCAAAGAUCUGGGGCAGGCUCAACAGAGGCAGCCAGAUGGGUGUUCUACCUUUCAACAAAGAGAAGAAACCUCAACGUGGACAAAAAGGCAUAGAAGAGGCUCAGAUUCUUAUAAUCUAGGCAAUAGCUCACUAAUGUUCAGACUCCUCAAGAGCCUACCCAAUACAGUUGAUGUUCUAAUAAACCUUGU